rnacentral:misc_RNA from 1 species
UGGCGAUUAAUAAGUUCCCACAGCAUUUUACAAUUACCAACAUGGACCAAGCAUGUAUAUUAGUUCUGCCGAGAGGAAGCAAUCUACAAUUUUCAGUUCGAAAGAUUUCAUAAAUCAUGAACUCUAUGGCUUAGUUGAACUCUACAUUAUGCUUUUUGAGCAAAAAUGGCUUGAAAAGCAGACAUUUGUUUCAUAAAAUAGCUUACCAUUAACACAAAUAACACCCUUUUCUACCCAAACUCUAGUAAUUUCUAACUUCAUUCAAGCAUCGCUCAGGAUGAAGAACAUGAAUUCCAAAGCUCGUCAUGUUUCACACGCAUAAACAAGUGCCUCAACCAGCGAAAGUUGCAGAGUAUUGAUAAAUCAACAAGAAAUAGGCAUUUAAAUCAAGAACUCAAGAGAGGGGAAGCAUUUACUAAAAAAAAAAACAAUAGGCACUUAAUUGCAGUGAAAUAGCGUAACGCGGGAAAAUUUAGGAACCAAACUUGCAGCCAUUUCAAUGCCUAAUAUGCCAACCUUGACUGGUGAAGAAGAAAAUAAUGUUAUUAGCUCUCAAAUUCCAUCUAGGGAUUGGCCAUCAGGGAUCGCCGGAAAUUAGAGAGAGCGUAGGGUUGAAGAUGUUGAGACUCCGAGCGAAAUAG